rnacentral:lncRNA from 1 species
AUAUAAUAAUCUUUUCAACGCUGGUUUAAGACGUAAAGAUGAGCCACUAGCUAGAUAUGUAAACAUGAUAUCGAUCAUACAUAGAUGAUGUUGGUCAUAAUAAUUAAAAUUUUGAUUGAGUCGCUAGAGGACUAUUUUAUUGAGACUGCGUCCCAAGCGGGUGGAUACAGGGAACGACAAUAUUAGUGCCCCAAACAAAAACUAGCUUCACUAGAGAUUCAGGAAUAAACACAACAACAUAUUUUCGUAUCGCCUGGUCCAGUCCUGCAGUAGGCCCCGAGCCAGCGGUUGCCACUGUGUCCGCAUAAGUUUUUGCAGACAUUUGAAUUGUAGACUUGAAUAGGCAAGCACUCUUCAUGAAGAUCAACUAAACAUUGAGGAAAUGUAAUGAUAUUAAUUACAAAUGUUUGGUAAGGUCUAUUUUAGCAAAAAUAAUGAAUUCGGUAAGAAAACAAUGAUUAAAGGAUGUUUGGAGAUACGCACGUUCAUAGCAAGAGGUUGGUAAGAUCAAAGUGCAAAACAUGAUCAUAACAAUAAUGUUGGGGAACGUUGCAGAAAACAAAAUUUUCCUACGGUUUCACCAAGAUCCAUCUAGGAGUUCAUCUAGCAACGAGUGAUCGGAUUGCAUCUACAUACCUUUGUAGAUCACGCACGGAAGCGUUCAAAGAACGGGGAUGAGGAAGGCGUACUCGACGUGAUCCAAAUCACCGGAGAUCCUAGCGCCGAACGGACGGCACCUCCGCGUUCAACACACGUACGGUCAGCGUAACGUCUCCUUCUUCUUGAUCCAGCAAGGGGGAAGGAGAGGUUGAGGAAGAUGGCUCCAACAGCAGCACGACGGCGUGGUGGUGGUGGAGCUGCAGUACUCCGGCAGGGCUUCGCCAAGCACUAUGGAGGAGGAGGAUGUGUUGGAGAGGGAGAGGGAGGCACCAAAGGCGUGGAUUGAGAGGCCCUCCUUCCCCCACUAUAUAUAGGGAGCCUAGGGGGGGGCGGCCCUAGGAGAUCCAAUCUCCUAGGGGGGGCGGCGGCCAAGGGAGGAAUCCCUCCUCCCCAAGGCACCUAGGAGGCGCCUUCCCCUUUUGGGACUCUUCCCUUCCUUAUCUCUUGGCGCAUGGACCUCUUGGGGCUGGUGCCCUUGGCCCAUAUAGGCCAAGGCGCACCCCCUACAGCCCAUGUGGCCCCCCGGGGCAGGUGGCCCCACCCGGUGGACCCCCGGGACCCUUCCGGUGGUCCCGGUACAAUACCGGUGACCCCGAAACUUGUCCCGAUGGCCGAAAUAGCACUUCCUAUAUAUAAUUCUUUACCUCUGGACCAUUCCGGAACUCCUCGUGACGUCCGGGAUCUCAUCUGGGACUCCGAACAACAUUCGGGUUACUGCAUAUACAUAUCCCUACAACCCUAGCGUCACCGAACCUUAAGUGUGUAGACCCUAUGGGUUCAGAAGACAUGUAGACAUGACCGAGAUCGCUCUCCGGUCAAUAACCAACAGCGGGAUCUGGAUACCCAUGUUGGCUCCCACAUGCUCCUCGAUGAUCUCAUCGGAUGAACCACGAUGUCGAGGACUCAAGCAACCCCGUAUACAAUUCCCUUUGUCAAUCGGUAUGUUACUUGCCCGAGAUCCGAUCGUCGGUAUCCCAAUACCUCGUUCAAUCUCGUUACCGGCAAGUCACUUUACUCGUACCGUAAUGCAUGAUCCAUGACCAGACACUUGGUCACUUUGAGCUUAUUAUGAUGAUGCAUUACCGAGUGGGCCCAGUGAUACCUCUCCGUCAUACGGAGUGACAAAUCCCAGUCUUGAUCCGUGUCAACCCAACAGACACUUUCGGAGAUACCCGUAGUAUACCUUUAUAGUCACCCAGUUACGUUGUGACGUUUGGUACACCCAAAGCACUCCUACGGUAUCCGGGAGUUACACGAUCUCAUGGUCUAAGGAAAAGAUACUUGACAUUGGAAAACUCUAGCAAAGAAACUAUACGAUCUUAUGCUAUGUUUAGGAUUGGGUCUUGUCCAUCACAUCAUUCUCCUAAUGAUGUGAUCCCGUUAUCAAUGACAUCCAAUGUCCAUAGUCAGGAAACCAUGACUAUCUGUUGAUCAACGAGCUAGUCAACUAGAGGCUUACUAGCGACAUGUUGGUGUCUAUUAUUCACACAUGUAUUACGAUUUCCGGAUAACACAAUUAUAGCAUGAAUAAAAGACAAUUAUCAUGAACAAGGAAAUAUAAUAAUAAUGCUUUUAUUAUUGCCUCUAGGGCAUAUUUCCAACAAAUAAUGCAGAUUGAAAAACCCAUGGCAUGUG